GAUGAACGCUGGCGGCGUGCCUAAUACAUGCAAGUCGAGCGAACAGAUGAGAAGCUUGCUUCUCUGAUGUUAGCGGCGGACGGGUGAGUAACACGUGGGUAACCUACCUAUAAGACUGGGAUAACGCCGGGAAACCGGGGCUAAUACCGGAUAAUAUUUUGAACCGCAUGGUUCAAUAGUGAAUGACGGUUUCGGCUGUCACUUAUAGAUGGACCCGCGCCGUAUUAGCUAGUUGGUAAGGUAACGGCUUACCAAGGCGACGAUACGCAGCCGACCUGAGAGGGUGAUCGGCCACAUUGGGACUGAGACACGGCCCAAACUCCUACGGGAGGCAGCAGUAGGGAAUCUUCCGCAAUGGGCGAAAGCCUGACGGAGCAAUGCCGCGUGAGUGAAGAAGGCCUUCGGGUCGUAAAACUCUGUUAUAAGAGAAGAACAAAUUGUAGAGUAACUGCUACAGUCUUGACGGUAUCUUAUCAGAAAGCCACGGCUAACUACGUGCCAGCAGCCGCCGUAA
rnacentral:rRNA from 1 species